AAUCUACAAACUUCCAGUGAAAACAAGGGUCGUUACACACAGCACGUAAGCUCACUUUGCAAGAGGUUUGCAUUCGCAGUUACCUAUCACAGAGCUAGAAGGACAGCUCGCAGACCUGCAAACUCGAGGGCAAGCAACCCUCUCCAUCCUCACAACUGGAUCAAGAGCACUAAAGGCUCCGAGCUCUUCCCGCAGGGAGGAAGGGCAGGCGGUAUCCCCGCGUCGUGUUGGUGCUGCUCCGCUCUCACCUGUUGUGGCCGCGGCCGAGGCCGGGCGCGUCCAGCCGAGAGGCAGCGCCGCCUCCGCCGAGAGCUCCGGGUGGAGCCGCCCCUCCUUCCCGUCCGCCCUCCCCCGGCUCCCUCAGCGCCCCGAGGCAUCUCGGCUGCUGCGCCGCUCGCUCCGCUGGGAGAGAGAGGAGGCGGCCCGAGCUUAGCGGCGCUGGGAGCGGAGCAAAUCACAGUUCAGAGCACUGGGCACCUUUGGCAGGGCUGCACACAUGUCCCAAAAGCAGGGUAUUUGGAAACGCGCUCCUUUCUCCUGGCUCCCUGUAGUCCCCUCUCAUCCGUCCGCUCCUUUCUCCGUCCCCUUCGUUUCCCCUCGCACUCCCCCCCGCCGUUCCCGUCUCCUCUCCCUCGUGCCCCGGCUGACGCUGCCUUUCCUCCUCCUCCAGUUGGCGCCCCCCCAGGCGACAGCGCGGUUGACUGGUGCCUCUACCAGCUCAAUGGAGCCGCCGAGUUCGAGGUCUCCGAAGCCAUGAGACAAAUCAGCCUCUGCCAAAGAACAUCUCCAGCAGCAGCAAGAGGCUGUGCCUCUCUGCUACACUGAUGCAUGUCUCUGUAGCAGCUUGUGAUCUAUAUUGUCUGUCAAAUGUCCAUCCUCAGUAAUCUUAUGGCAGGAAUCACUUCCUUUUACUCUGUGUUCACAAUAUACCAUAGCAGUGCCCUUGUUGACUGGGGCUAGGCAAUACUGGCUUUGUCAGCUCCAUCACACACAGAAAGCUCACUCAGUUCCAGAGAUGAUGACGAUUGUAUACAUCCUCUCUUAAAACCUUGAAAGAAACAUGUACUGAAACCAUGAAAUUAAAAGGUGGAACAAAUAAAAGAAGAUGGCAAAAACA
rnacentral:lncRNA from 1 species